ACACAGCUUGUGACCCGGUUCUGUAAGGAAUUCUGUUCAGGAGGUCACAUUUCAGGCUCUCCACAUCAUAUGUGACUGACUUUUACGUUAUAACAACGAUCACACACUAGGAAUGUUAUAAAGCGCCUAUAUAGGACAGUUUCUUUUGUAUAUUAUCUGACUUUAUAAACUCCAACAACAAUGUGCUUCUAUUUUUUUUUUCAGGCUAAAUCUACCCAAGACAUUGGCUGUCAGACUGAUUUAGCUGCAAGAAUGCACUUGUCCAGGCUGACGUGAAGUCUUACCCGUAGCAAAGGUGAAUUAUUUUUAAUAAUCUUCUAUGUAAACAUUUUAUUAUUACCUUCUAGUUUUAAUUUGUUUUACAGAUUAUUGUUACACGUGAUUUUAUGCUCUUUUAAACAUUUAUAAAUGUGCUGUUUCUUUGUUUUUACAUAGCCACCCAGAAUAGAGCUCACAGCCACAGUGUGUGCUGUGACACAGGGACCAUGACGGAAAUCCAUCUUCCAGAAAGUCCCAGAGCAGCGUCCACACCCCUGAAAAGACCAAGAUGUGAGGUGUCUGCUGUUGAUUCCAGCUUCCACCUCAGUGACAGUGCAAGCUCAGUGAACUGUUCAAGGUAAAAAAAAAUUAAAACAUUUCAGAAUUUUUAAGAUAUUAACAAUUAAAUAAGUAUGUGAUUACAUCAUGAGAUCAUGAAGGAGGCUACUGAUUCUGGCCCUGUGACACUUGGUGGUGACGUGUGAGCUGAUUCACCUGGUAAAUAACUUUUACAUUAAAUAUUGUGUUUUUGCUAUCAAAAGUAAAUUAACUAAUAACCUGCAUUAUUGCAGGACACUCAGCAAAAUAUGGACUCUACACCAUGAGGCAGGCACACGUUAAUACUCUAUAAGAGCACAUAAGCAUGAGGAUGUCCUCACACACCUGUAACCUAUCAGCUCAUCUGGCAGAAUAGAGAGAGAAGAGACAACACCACAUAUCCUGUUCCUGGAAAGCCUUCAGCCAUCCUUCCAUGACUGAGAACCUCCAUCAGCUCUGUCUCCUGUCUGCCUACAAUUAUUAUAAUAAAUAUUGUGUUUAACAAGUUUUUUGUGCUGCCAAAUAUCUCAUUUUGAUUCCAGUUUUGAUAUUUUAAUGGAUAUUUAUAAAUUACAUUGAUUAUCACAUUGUUGCAUGUUUAACUAGCUCUAUUGUGAUGAAUUAAACUAGCACAUCACUGUUAAAAGCUCGUUUUAAUUUCAAGCAUGUUUAAGUAUUUAUGGACAUGAACAAAAACAGGAAAUAUAUAAAUUGAGAUUUAUUUAAUUAAUAUAACAAAUAAGGGGGAAAGAGUCAUUGAAAGGCACAUUCUUCUGGAAGCUCCUGAUCCUGACGACACCAGCAGAGGAGACCAGCUGCAGACACCAGAGGAUCACU